UACAGAGGGUGCGAGCGUUUAAUCGGAAUUACUGGGCGUAAAGCGUGCGUAGACGGCUAUCUAAGUCGGGUGUGAAAGCCCCGGGCUCAACCUGGGAAUUGCAUUCGAGACUGAAUAGCUAGGGUACGGUAGAGGGAAGCGGAAUUUCCGGUGUAGCGGUGAAAUGCGUAGAUAUCGGAAGGAACAUCAGUGGCGAAAGCGGCUUCCUGGACCAGUACCGACGUUCAGGCACGAAAGCGUGGGGAGCAAACAGG
rnacentral:rRNA from 1 species